UACGUAGGUGGCAAGCGUUGUCCGGAUUCACUGGGUGUAAAGGGUGCGCAGGCGGAUUUGUAAGUCAGAGGUGAAAUCUCACGGCUUAACCGUGAAACUGCCUUUGAUACUGCAGAUCUUGAGUUCGGGAGAGGUUGAUGGAAUUCCAGGUGUAGCGGUGAAAUGCGUAGAUAUCUGGAAGAACACCAGUGGCGAAGGCGGUCAACUGGCCCGUAACUGACGCUCAGGCACGAAAGCGUGGGUAGCAAACAGG
rnacentral:rRNA from 1 species